rnacentral:rRNA from 1 species
CGUGAGAUGUUGGGUUAAGUCCCGCAACGAGCGCAACCCCUAUUGUUAGUUGCUACGCAAGAGCACUCUAGCGAGACUGCGUUGACAAAACGGAGGAAGGUGGGGACGACGUCAAAUCAUCAUGCCCCUUAUGUCCUGGGCUACACACGUAAUACAAUGGCAUUUAACAGAGGGAAGCAAAACCGCGAGGUGGAGCAAAUCCCUAAAAGGUGUCUCAGUUCGGAUUGCAGGCUGCAACUCGCCUGCA